rnacentral:rRNA from 1 species
UAGACAAGAAGACCCUAUGAAUCUUAAUUUUUAAAAAAAAAAUUUAAUUGGGGCGAUUAAAAUUUAUAAAGAAACUUUAUUUUAAAAGUUUAAUAAAAAUAAAAAUAAAAGAUACUCUAGGGAUAACAGCGUAAUUAUUUUGGAAAGUUCAUAUUGAUAAAAUAGUUUGCGACCUCGAUGUUG